UUGCCGUUCGAUUGACUGCCAUUCGAGGGACUGUUGUGCCCUUGUCUUUCAGGCAAGAUGCAUAAAUUGCUGGGGCACCCACUUGAGAGGACUCUCUCCGCCCCUCUCCCACCAGUUGUUUGGACUCAACACAUUUAUUUUUGACGUGCGCCCCGUGAUUUGUCAUUGACAUCAUUAUGGACGCGGACGCGGAUCUCCCUUCUCGCCCAAAGCGCUGCAGACAAACGGGCUGCAACACUUCAGAGGAGAGAGGAAUCAGAGUCUGAUCGGAGUCGGAGUCGGGUACUUCAUCUGUGCCGCUUGGAUAAACAGAAUAGAUGGAACGAUGGAGCGUUUGGAGGGUGGCCGGAGCCGGAGCCAGUUGUUUGUAUAAAUAAUUGCGUUUUUGACAUUCAUUCAGCCCACCCCCCCCCUCCAGGGAGGCGGCCCCUCCGGGGGACUUAACUUAAUUACGCACCAAACGCAGUCCCCGAGGCCUCGAGAAGCUUACCCAAAAACUCCAUAUUACAAUAAUUUAAUUUAUGCUUGCUAUUUAUUAUUUUCUAAAUUGUUUUGGAACGUGCCGCCGCAGCCCUCGGGCUCCAAUA
rnacentral:sRNA from 1 species